rnacentral:rRNA from 1 species
AACGAACGCUGGCGGCAUGCCUAACACAUGCAAGUCGAACGAGAGCUUCGGGUCUAGUGGCGCACGGGUGCGUAACGCGUGGGAACCUGCCCUUAGGCUCGGAAUAACUCCCCGAAAGGGGUGCUAAUACCGGAUAAUGUCUUCGGACCAAAGAUUUAUCGCCUUUGGAUGGGCCCGCGUUGGAUUAGCUAGUUGGUAGGGUAAAAGCCUACCAAGGCGACGAUCCAUAGCUGGUCUGAGAGGAUGAUCAGCCACACUGGGACUGAGACACGGCCCAGACUCCUACGGGAGGCAGCAGUGGGGAAUAUUGGCCAAUGGGCGAAAGCCUGAUCCAGCAAUGCCGCGUGAGUGAUGAAGGCCUUAGGGUUGUAAAGCUCUUUUACCCGGGAUGAUAAUGACAGUACCGGGAGAAUAAGCUCCGGCUAACUCCGUG